rnacentral:rRNA from 1 species
ACUCAAAGGAAUUGACGGGGCCCCGCACAAGCAGCGGAGCGUGUGGUUUAAUUCGAUGCUACGCGAAGAACCUUACCCGGGUUUGACAUGCAGGUAGUAGUGAAGCGAAAGCAGAACGACCCUUCGGGGAGCCUGCACAGGUGCUGCAUGGCUGUCGUCAGCUCGUGCCGUGAGGUGUUAGGUUAAGUCCUGUAACGAGCGCAACCCCUGUCGUCAGUUACACGUGUCUGACGAGACUGCCGGCCGUAAGCCGGAGGAAGGCGGGGAUGAUGUCAAGUCAGCAUGGCCUUUAUAUCCGGGGCUACACACACGCUACAAUGGCCGGUACAAUGGGUCGCCAAGCCGCGAGGCGGAGCCAAUCCUAAAAAGCCGGUCUCAGUUCGGAUUGCAGGCUGCAACCCGCCUGCAUGAAGUUGGAGUUGCUAGUAACCGCGCGUCAGCCAUAGUGCGGUGAAUACGUUCCCGGGGCUUGUACACACCGCCCGU